UAGGGAAUCUUCGGCAAUGGGGGGAACCCUGACCGAGCAACGCCGCGUGAGUGAAGAAGGUUUUCGGAUCGUAAAGCUCUGUUGUUAAGGAAGAACGAGUGUGAGAAUGGAAAGUUCAUGCUGUGACGGUACUUAACCAGAAAGGGACGGCUAACUACGUGCCAGCAGCCGCGGUAAUACGUAGGUCCCGAGCGUUGUCCGGAAUUAUUGGGCGUAAAGGGUACGUAGGCGGUCUAUUAAGUCAGGUGUGAAAGCGUGAGGCUUAACCUCAUUAAGCACUUGAAACUGAUAGACUUGAGUGAAGGAGAGGAAAGUGGAAUUCCUAGUGUAGCGGUGAAAUGCGUAGAUAUUAGGAGGAAUACCGGUGGCGAAGGCGACUUUCUGGACUUUUACUGACGCUCAGGUACGAAAGCGUGGGGAGCAAACAGG
rnacentral:rRNA from 1 species